GAUAGUGGUGUGUUCCCUUAACAUGUAACUAUCAUGGCAGAAAAGUGUUUGAAACUUUAGCCGCUAGAGGUCAGCCAGUAAGACAUCAGUUUCUUCCCUACACUUUCAAGAUGAGUCCAGACGUUAAGCAACUCGCACAUCACGUGUCAUCAACACUCUGUGGCGAAACAGCAUUACAAACAGAAUUUAAAGUGGGCAGUGCUCUUCUAAGGGUUCUACUUGAUUAGAGAGGCUAUAACCAGGGUCGUUGGUAGAAGUAACCACUAGGUCCACAACGAAUGAAUACUGUUGCAUCAUCGAGUCACAUGACUACUGUGACGCAACGUUUCUAGAACUAUCAUGUACUU